rnacentral:rRNA from 1 species
UACGUAGGUGGCGAGCGUUGUCCGGAAUUAUUGGGCGUAAAGAGCGUGGUAGGUUGGGAUCAUAAGUCUUUUUGUCAAAGUGCGGGGCUCAACCCCGUGAUGCGGAGAACUGUGAUUCUUGAGUGCCGGAGAGGAAAGCGGAAUUCCCAGUGUAGCGGUGAAAUGCGUAGAUAUUGGGAGGAACACCAGUGGCGAAGGCGGCUUCUUGGACGGUGUCGUGA